rnacentral:lncRNA from 1 species
AACACUCUCUUUCUCUCUGACAGACAGGAGGGAAAUGCUGCAAAAUAAAUGCAUGGGAAAACAAAAAGUUGGCAUGGAAAUAUACAUUUUGCUCGGGAAAGAGAGGGACAAUGUUUGCUGAGCACACUAGACAGCGGCUCUUUUCAUCAGGAUAUAAUGUUUCAGGAAUACUGCAGCUACAGUGCCAACUCCCUGGUUACACUGCAUGUGUUUUGUUUUAUCAAAUGAAAAAAAAUGAUGAUAUUUCAGUCUUUCUGUUGCUGCACAACAAAGGUGCCUGCAUGGGAUUUGACUGCAUGAAUAAAUCAGAUGCACAAAUCAGAUGCAGCUGGAGGACAAUGAUGUGUUGUUACACGAUGAAGGGACUUUUAGAGAAACAUCUCUGGGUUUACUCUGUGUGAUUAUUUGUUAUUAUUCCUUUUAAAUCGGGAUAGGACGGUUAUAUUACCGUGGUUAAUGAUCGGGAUAAAUUUCAGUUCGAUCGCUGUGAUCGACUGUGAUCGACUGUGAGCAUAUUUACUCAAUCGAACAUAGCGGAAAUGUGCGUCACAACAGCCAAUCAGAGUCGAGCUUUUCCUGCUCACUUCUGUAAGUUGCCGGUGAAGUAAACAGGAAGUAAACAGAAUGGCCGAUCGUGGAGCUAAACGCCGAUAUGUAAGGUAUGUUGGCGGUCGGUGCCUCAAAAACCGACAACACAACAGAUCUGUUAAAUCAUUCGAAGAAGUUCUUUCUGAGUGAUUGUGUGGAAAACAUGAAAAUGCGAGUGGAGUCUGUAGCUUUAGCAGUUUAGCUACAACUAGCGGUGCAGCCACCAGACCAAAGCAAUCAAUCAUUUGUAUCCUCUAAUGUUUACAUUUUAAGGCGUCUUCAUUAUCUCUGAGGGGGCGAUUUGUUUAUUUUGGGUCUUGCAAACCUGCAAAAACACUCAGGACUAUAAACUAAUUCACUACAUUAUUUAAUAUUAAUCUACAUUUUUUGUAGGCUAUUGUUGAAUAAAAUGUUUUUUAUAUUUUUUGUGAGUUUAUCUUGUUUAAUUUGCUUUGUAAUUUACUUUGUAUGUUAACUGUAUGGGAAUUAACGGGAAUGGAUCUGCAAUUUACAUUUAUUUAUUAUUUUGCAUGGUUGUCUGCUUAUGACAAAACAAAAAUAUUUAGAUUUAUGUUUGGAUUUGAUACAGUUUGUUUGAAUUGCCCCUAAUUUCCAGUUAAUUCCCAUAAAUUCCCAAUAAUUCCCAUAUUUCUAUAAAUUCCAAUAAUUCCCCUGUAAAGUUUCCAGUUUGGAACAUUACCAAAAUUCCCCAGUUUAACUUCCCAAGGAAAAUUUCUGGAAAUUUACCGGAAAUUUUCCGCCCCUUUGCAACCCUAUGUUGAACUAAUCUCUAAUUUCUUUAGUUUUUACUACAGAUGAUUUGAAAUUUACAGUUUAAAAAAAAUCAUGAUAAUCAUUGAGAUUGGACGAUAUGACAAAAUAUAGCGUGAUCUUUUUUUUGUUUGUUUUUUCCAAAUCUUUGUGUCCUAUUUCGAACAUAUAAAUUCACACCUCCCCCUGAACUGAUCUCAUCAAGAUGGCUUCUCUUAUUACCACUACAGCAUAUGUGCACAGGCCUCUGUUUAACAAGUACUCUGAAAAAUAGAAAGCACUCUGGUUGAAUACCCACAUCUUCAGUUUGAUGUAGUGAGUGAGUGUAACUCAAAAGCCCACAUGGAUACCCAAGACAUUACCAUUCAUUGUUGGGCUAAUUAGAGUGUAGUUGGUGUGUGUGGAUAAACUAAAGUAAUUAGUCAUAGAUUUAUGGUUGGAUGUCUGCUGAGACAGCAGUUGCUAACAUCUACUGAAGGAGAUUAAAGCCUUUGUAAGCGAGCACAAGAAGACAGGACUGCUUCUUAUUGUGAUCUGAUGAAAUACAUCAUUUCAGAGAUCUCAACAGCAGGACUAAAGGACACAACAAAGACGGAGGGACGCGCUCCUGAGUGUGACGUGUUAAAACAUUCACUUUCUCUUCAAACUGCCCUUGUCAAAGACAAUGAACCACCCCGAGGAUGACACCAGUUUCCUCCGUGAUUAAAUGUUCGGUCUUUCUUACAGAGGAGUUUUUGCUGAACUGGAGCUGCUGACAUUUCUCAGGUUUAGUUUACAUUGUGUUCCAGUGCUGAGAGUUAUUUCUGUUCUGGUGCAGUAAUGUUUUGUUAUUGGUGAUGCAACCGGUUAUCAUUCACUUAUCAUCAGAUCGUUCCUGCAUCAGCAGGGGAGGUAAAUGCAACAAAUCAGCAGGAGAAGGACACUAAUGAUAGGGUUGUGGAGGAAUGCAUACAAAUAGAAAAGAGUUGCCGUCCCUGUUCAUUUAUAGCUGGUGAAUUGUUGAUCAUUUUAUUGGCAAUCUUUGAAUACAAAAUAGUGUUUGCCCUGUAAACAAACCUUGUGGGAGACUUGAGGAUUCUGUAAAUGGUCUUAAUAAUGCCUCGAGUUUGGUGAUAACUGCAAACAAGUAGACUUCGGGGUCUGAGUCUUUUAUUUUUUAUGUGGAAGACUAAAUGUGCCGAUUCAGGCAAAAAAAAAUUACAAAUAAGGCUGAAGAGACGGACGCACACACCAGUAAUCAGAGUAACAGGAGGAUGCAAAAAAUAAAUAUAUAACACAGACGCUCUCAGGAGCUUGUAAUGACUGUGUAGAUGGUGCAGAUGGGGUUUGCAGCAUUAUAAAAAUGUUCUGAAAGAGCUGUUAAAUCUUAAGGUGUAGCCACAGAUCAUAAAACCUCUAUAGCAAGCAUUUUUUUUUCAUAACCUGCCGGAAAAAUAUACGACACAAGGACGAUUUUUGCAGGAAAUUAUCAUGUGCUCUAAUAAUUCUCCAAGUGAUCUUAGUGUAAGUGAAAACCCAAAAUAAAAAAACACGUACCUGAGCUGCAAGCAGACUUUUAACUCAGAGAGUAAUGACGGUUUUAAUAUUUGAUUAUGACAACAUGUAAUCAUGAAUUACUGAUGUACUGUGAGAGUAUCCUGCACAGACUAGAACCGAAAAUAGAUUCACCUCAAGUGACCCGGGUAUAACUCGAAUUCUCGAAUCACAUCUGAGAGUUAACAUUUAGAAUCAUUUGUGCAAAUGAUCCUGUAAAUGAGGAUAAGAGCUUUAUCCUUAUUGGAGGUUAAAUUAAAGAACCUGGGGAAAUGAAGCAGAGCCCACACUGAAUCCUCCUAAAGUCGGCGCUGACAAGUGAUGCUGCUGUAAAGAGCGAGAAGUGGAUGAGAAUGGAUUGUUUCAUUUGGCCGUGUCCUGUGUGUGUGUGUGUGUGUGUGUGAAUGAGAAUAACACUCUGUGAUGAGGCACAAUGUUAUGAUAUUACCUCUUUGCUUUUUUUCUCUUCAUCUAUUCUGAGCCGCUGUUGAAGAGACUUGUCUUUGACUUCCUCUUGUGCAAGAAAAGAAAAGUUCAAAGUGAUGAAGUGUUUCAAGGUUAAGUGUGUGAAAUUUUGUUGAUUCUCUGAAUUGUCAACUAUUCAUCCUUCUUGUUCGGAUCUUAACUCGUGAUUGGUUAAAUGGUCUGGAUGUUUGUUUGCCUGGUGAGCUUCAUUACUGCAGGGAGCUGCAAACUUGAACCGCUGUAUAUAAAAGUAAAAUGUCGGUUUGAUGUGACAAACCGCAGCGGAUUAGACGACAUAUUUCUCUGAAACAGAGCGUGUGAAAUAUGUCUAAGUUCAAGUGCAGGGCAAGGAUUCAGCCUAGUGUUUAGCUCUGAUAUUUGACCAUAAAACUGUGGUCCAUCUCAAGGUGAAGCAAAUCUUUCCUUUGACUCAUGAAUAAAAACACACACCUUAAAAUAAACCCUUACACGCUGAAUACACCCACAGUGAGUAUAUAUUAUAAUGAGAAUAACAAAAACGGAAAUGUGAUAGUCAUAUCUGAACACCAGAGGGGAAAGUCAAGGAGACUGUGCCUGUAGGUUUCUUUGAAAUUUUAAUCUAUUCUUGUGUGAUCUCAGAGAGGCAACAGCACUUAUGGGAAAUCGUCAGCAGUUUCAUUUUGAUGGUAUUUUCAGAGAGCUCUUCAAGUUUCACCGUUUUACUGUAACUAUGAUUUCAGUCAUUUGCUUAAAUGUAAUACAGUUUUAUUACAUUAAAGCUCCUGUGAGCAGUUUUUGGAUGUCCAUGGAAUUAAUUCAUGAUGUAAAAAGAAACAAAACCAUCGACUGUAUAUACUAUGGACAACUUGUUGUAAAGUUGUACGCAUUCGGCGGUAGAGUCACUGUGACGACGCUCGGCUUAAACAGCGUAUCCCCCGGGUGAGCUACGUAGACUUCGUACGCCCGUAGGCUGUAUCAAAUGUCAAUCAAAGAAAACACGAACCCCCUAAUACCGUAUUUUUCAGGUGCACCGGAUUAUAAGGCGCAUUUAGCAAAACAACACAGUCCGAUAAACUUUAUUUAACUCAGUUGUAACAAAAAAAUACUGGUACAUAAAAAUACGCUCACUUACUGAUUCAUUCCUCUUCCACAAAUCCAUCGAAUUCUUCAUCUUCAGCUGUGCGGUUUCGGCAUCAAUCACGCCCGGAUCCCUCUCGCCAUUCUCCAAGUCAGUCUCGUUGCUGUUAUCUGUACUUGGCUGUUCAGUGAUGAUUUCAACUCAGGUGACAGUUACCGUAAUGCUCAGAAUAUCCAUCGUGUGUAGCGGCUUUGUUGCGAACCGAAGUCGUACUUACACAUUUGACAGAUUUUUGAGCGCAUUUGUACCACAUAAAAUCAAUCAGUAAGCACAACAAGUAAUAACACAUAAGGCGCGCUGGAUUAUAAGGCGCACAGUCAAUAUCUGAGAAAAUUAAAGGAUUUUAAAUGCGCCUUAUAGUCUGAAAAACACUGUAAAUUUAAAAAAUGGAGCUGCACAGAAAAAGGGGACUUGAGCACGAAACAGUCUUACAGUAACUACAUGUCAACAUCACAACCAGGGGGGAGAAACAUUUAUAUUCUGUGUCAUUAAUUUCUAAAUUUGUCCACAGCUCCAUAGGGAUUGCUGGAAGAGGCGGGAUUUAUGACCUAUACUGCAGCCUGUCACCAGAGGGUGCUGUUCUGGUGGUGGAUUCACCCAGCGAGGAGGCAGACCACGUCCAUUCUAUAUACAGUCUAUAAACAAAACCAUACUGGCGCUCAGGUGGGAGGUUUUAGUUAAACA